rfam:Asian citrus Psyllid, Diaphorina citri - Florida Strain, whole genome shotgun sequence.
GCCAGCGGCGAUAGCACGUUGAAUACACCAGUACUCCACGGAUCACUGAAGUUAGGCAAUGUUGCGCGUGAUUAGUACCUGGAUGGUGACCAUCUGGGGAAUCGCGUGCUGCUGGGU